rnacentral:lncRNA from 1 species
GAAAAAAUCGUUUGAGCUAUUAAAUCUUUUUAAUGGUGGGACUAUAUUGUGCUAUAGCUGUUAGUCCUGUAUUCAGACAUCUUUACCAUUUUAAUUCUGUUCGGCUUUCACUGGUUUAAAAUAUUUACUAGAACAAAAACUGUGGACAGGCGUCUAGUGCAAACUAGAAGGAGACCUCUUCAAAAGAGCCUCAUGCUUACUUUUAUAGCGCUUGUUCAGGCAUAGUCUUGCUCAUGUUGAUCUUUGGAAUGUUACACAGAGAUGUUAUAUGUCACAUAAAGGAGAUAUUGUAUUUUGUUGUGUAGCAGAAGUAUCAAGGCUUUCCUGUCGCUUUAUGAACACAGGAAUGAGAUGUGUCCCAAACCACACUUCCAUCUUGCUCUCUCUCGCCCUCCUGAACAAUCUCCACGGCUUCCUGCACACGCUGGUCUGUCAGGCAUGUCUUCUUGCCCUUUCCUUUGCACGGCGGAUUCAGAGGAGACGUUGGCGGGUAACUGGCUGAUCCGCUCAGGAGGACGGCGGCGGAGGAGCAGAGAGGAGCUGGGGUCCUGGGCGGGUCAUUGUGAGGGGGGGGCAGGCGUCAGUGACGAUGGGCCUGUUGGUUGUAUCCCGAUGGCAGGUGGAGGAGGCAGAACUGCAGAUGCGGAGGCAGCCUCUCCAGCCGGGAGAGACAGAGAAGUGGAUGAAGCCAUCGCCUACAUUCUGCGGUCUCUGGGUGCCACGGAUUCCAAAACAGCUGAAGCCUACAGAGAAAGAGUUGAAGCCAUCGUCCGUGCUCUGCUGUCAUACAAAGACUGCUCCUGUUUCUGGUCGAGGCUGGGGAUCGCAGUUGCAGGUGGAGGUGAGUGUGAGUGAACCGCUCUGCGGCUCUGUUAUGAGGCACACAGCGUCCAUUUGGGGUUUACGAUGCUGUUGCACUUUGGGUUUUGGGGGUUACCGCUGUACGGCACUGGGGUGCCUUGGCGGGGUUUUGCCAUUCUG